rnacentral:rRNA from 1 species
GACGAACGCUGGCGGCGUGCCUAAUACAUGCAAGUCGAGCGAAGUUUUUCUGGUGCUUGCACUAGAAAAACUUAGCGGCGAACGGGUGAGUAACACGUAAAGAACCUGCCUCAUAGACUGGGACAACUAUUGGAAACGAUAGCUAAUACCGGAUAACAGUAUUUCUCGCAUGAGAGAUAUUUAAAAGUUGGUUAUGCUAACACUAUGAGAUGGCUUUGCGGUGCAUUAGCUAGUUGGUGGGGUAAAGGCCCACCAAGGCGUCGAUGCAUAGCCGACCUGAGAGGGUGAUCGGCCACACUGGGACUGAGACACGGCCCAGACUCCUACGGGAGGCAGCAGUAGGGAAUCUUCCGCAAUGGGCGAAAGCCUGACGGAGCAACGCCGCGUGAGUGAAGAAGGAUUUCGGUUCGUAAAGCUCUGUUGUUAGGGAAGAAUGGAUAUGUAGUAACUAUACAUGUAAGAGACGGUACCUAACCAGAAAGCCACGGCUAACUACGUG